UACGUAGGGGGCAAGCGUUGUCCGGAAUCAUUGGGCGUAAAGCGCGUGUAGGCGGCUCGGUAAGUCUGCUGUGAAAGUCCAGGGCUCAACCCUGGGAUGCCGGUGGAUACUGUCGAGCUCGAGUCCGGAAGAGGCGAGUGGAAUUCCUGGUGUAGCGGUGAAAUGCGCAGAUAUCAGGAGGAACACCAUGGCGAAGGCAGCUCGCUGGGACGUGACUGACGCUGAGACGCGAAAGCGUGGGGAGCAAACAGGAUUAGAAACCCCUGG
rnacentral:rRNA from 1 species